GACGGACGCUGGCGGCGUGCUUAACACAUGCAAGUCGAACGGAAAGGCCCUGCUUUUGUGGGGUGCUCGAGUGGCGACCGGGUGAGUAACACGUGAGUAACCUGCCCUUGACUUUGGGAUAACUUCAGGAAACUGGGGCUAAUACCGGAUAGGAGCUCCUGCUGCUUGGUGGGGGUUGGAAAGUUUCGGCAGUUGGGGAUGGACUCGCGGCUUAUCAGCUUGUUGGUGGGGUAGUGGCUUACCAAGGCUUUGACGGGUAGCCGGCCUGAGAGGGUGACCGGCCACAUUGGGACUGAGAUACGGCCCAGACUCCUACGGGAGGCAGCAGUGGGGAAUAUUGCACAAUGGGCGGAAGCCUGAUGCAGCAACGCCGCGUGCGGGAUGACGGCCUUCGGGUUGUAAACCGCUUUCGCCUGUGACGAAGCGUGAGUGACGGUAAUGGGUAAAGAAGCACCGGCUAACUACGUGCCAGCCGCCGCAGUAAAAC
rnacentral:rRNA from 1 species